GAUGAACGCUGGCGGCGUGCCUAAUACAUGCAAGUCGAGCGAACAGACGAGGAGCUUGCUCCUCUGACGUUAGCGGCGGACGGGUGAGUAACACGUGGAUAACCUACCUAUAAGACUGGGAUAACUUCGUGAAACCGGAGCUAAUACCGGAUAAUAUAUUGAACCGCAUGGUUCAAUAGUGAAAGACGGUUUUGCUGUCACUUAUAGAUGGAUCCGCGCCGCAUUAGCUAGUUGGUAAGGUAACGGCUUACCAAGGCAACGAUGCGUAGCCGACCUGAGAGGGUGAUCGGCCACACUGGAACUGAGACACGGUCCAGACUCCUACGGGAGGCAGCAGUAGGGAAUCUUCCGCAAUGGGCGAAAGCCUGACGGAGCAACGCCGCGUGAGUGAUGAAGGUCUUCGGAUCGUAAAACUCUGUUAUUAGGGAAGAACAAAUGUGUAAGUAACUAUGCACGUCUUGACGGUACCUAAUCAGAAAGCCAGGGCUAACUACGUG
rnacentral:rRNA from 1 species